rnacentral:rRNA from 1 species
UGAGUGGCGGACGGGUGAGUAACGCGUGGGUAACCUGCCUCAUACAGGGGGAUAACAGUUGGAAACGACUGCUAAUACCGCAUAAGCGCACAGGACCGCAUGAUCCGGUGUGAAAAACUCCGGUGGUAUGGGAUGGACCCGCGUCUGAUUAGCCAGUUGGCAGGGUAACGGCCUACCAAAGCGACGAUCAGUAGCCGACCUGAGAGGGUGACCGGCCACAUUGGGACUGAGACACGGCCCAAACUCCUACGGGAGGCAGCAGUGGGGAAUAUUGCACAAUGGGGGAAACCCUGAUGCAGCGACGCCGCG